rnacentral:snoRNA from 1 species
AAUUUUUGCCUUUUACUCAGCCAAGGAUAUCUUUGCAGAAAUAAUUUUAAGACUGAGA